UAUAAGUAAGUGUAAGAUUUAGCACUAAAGAUUUUGAUUCUUUAAGAUUUAGGAGAAGCCUAAAAUUUAUAA
rnacentral:tRNA from 1 species